CCUACGUGUGGCAGCAGUGGGGGAUUUUGCACAAUGGGCGCAAGCCUGAUGCAGCGACGCCGCGUGAGGGAUGGAGGCCUUCGGGUUGUGAACCUCUGUCGCCGGUGAUGUAGGCUCUGCUUUGUGGGUGGGGUUGACGGUAGCCGGGGUAUGAAGUGCCGGCUAACUACGUGCCAGCAGCCGCGGUAAUACGUAGGGCGCGAGCGUUGUCCGGAAUUAUUGGGCGUAAAGAGCUCGUAGGCGGCUGGUCGCGUCUGUCGUGAAAUCCUCUGGCUUAACUGGGGGCGUGCGGGGGGUACGGGCCGGCUUGAGUGCGGUAGGGGAGGCUGGAAUUCCUGGUGUAGCGGUGGAAUGCGCAGAUAUCAGGAGGAACACCGGUGGCGAAGGCGGGUCUCUGGGCCGUGUACUGACGCUGAGGAGCGAAAGCGUGGGGAGCGAACAGGAUUAGAUACCCCAGUAGUC
rnacentral:rRNA from 1 species